rnacentral:rRNA from 1 species
GAUGAACGCUGGCGGCGUGCCUAAUACAUGCAAGUCGAGCGAACGGACGAGAAUCUUGCUUCUCUUAUGUUAGCGGCGGACGGGUGAGUAACACGUGUAUAACCGACCUAUAAGACUGGGAUAACUUCGGGAAACCGGAUCUAAUACCGGAUAAUAUUUUGAACCGCAGGGUUCAAAAGUGAAAGACGGUCUUGCUGUCACUUAUAGAUGUAUCCGCGCUGCAUUAGCUAGUUGGUAAGGUAACGGCUUACCAAGGCAACGAUGCAUAGCCGACCUGAGAGGGUGAUCGGCCACACUGGAACUGAGACACGGUCCAGACUCCUACGGGAGGCAGCAGUAGGGAAUAUUCGGCAAUGGGCGAAAGCCUGACGGAGCCAUGCCGCGUGAGUGAUGAAGGUCUUCGGAUCGUAAAACUCUGUUAUUAGGGAAGAACAUAUGUGUAAGUAAAUGUGCCCAUCUUGACGGUACCUACUCAGAAAGCCACGGCUAACUACGUG